GAUGAACGCUAGCUACAGGCUAUACACAUGCAAGUCGAGGGGCAGCAUGGUCUUAGCUUGCUAAGGCUGAUGGCGACCGGCGCACGGGUGAGUAACACGUAUCCAACCUGCCGUCUACUCUUGGCCAGCCUUCUGAAAGGAAGAUUAAUCCAGGAUGGCAUCAUGAGUUCACAUGUCCGCAUGAUUAAAGGUAUUUCCGGUAGACGAUGGGGAUGCGUUCCAUUAGAUAGUAGGCGGGGUAACGGCCCACCUAGUCAACGAUGGAUAGGGGUUCUGAGAGGAAGGUCCCCCACAUUGGAACUGAGACACGGUCCAAACUCCUACGGGAGGCAGCAGUGAGGAAUAUUGGUCAAUGGGCGAUGGCCUGAACCAGCCAAGUAGCGUGAAGGAUGACCGCCCUAUGGGUUGUAAACUUCUUUUAUAAAGGAAUAAAGUCGGGUAUGCAUACCCGUUUGCAUGUACUUUAUGAAUAAGGAUCGGCUAACUCCGUGCCAGCAGCCGCGGUAAUACGGAGGAUCCGAGCGUUAUCCGGAUUUAUUGGGUUUAAAGGGAGCGUAGAUGGAUGUUUAAGUCAGUUGUGAAAGUUUGCGGCUCAACCGUAAAAUUGCAGUUGAUACUGGAUGUCUUGAGUGCAGUUGAGGCAGGCGGAAUUCGUGGUGUAGCGGUGAAAUGCUUAGAUAUCACGAAGAACUCCGAUUGCGAAGGCAGCCUGCUAAGCUGCAAC
rnacentral:rRNA from 1 species